GUCAUAGUGACUUUUGGGAUAGUUUGCUAUCGACAAAGGGGGACAAAGUCAAGGGGUGAAGGGAAAGGAGGGCCAAGUAGAGCCUCCACGACCCUCGGCUGCCUCCUCACCAUCUCCCCCUCCUCCCAAGUCCAGUAAGAAGUUGGGCCAUGCUGGAAGGGAUUGACCGGGUUGCUUGUCUGGAGACAGAGCCACUACGGGCAGGGCCUGGGCGCCUGGAGUCGGGCAUGAAAGGAAAUAGCGCCUCAUCGCUCUUAUCUAAGCCCAGAGGCCCAGGGGACAACCUAAGGGCCCUGAAGUGUUUCAAUACCACGUACCAGCUUGACUUCUCUACCUGUCCUUUGGAUUGCCCAAAAGCAAAAUCUCGGAGGGGCCAAGGACCUUCCAGGGCUGACUCCUUCAGGGCCUCCUAUAGAGCAGCUUCCUGAGUCGGGCCUUAUAGCCACCAGAAAGUCACCUCGCUGCAGAAAAGCUGUUAAGAGCUGCUUCAGAGGCGCCGAAAGCGGGUCUACUUCGCUUGAAAAGAUCGAGAAUGGGGGA
rnacentral:antisense_RNA from 1 species